CUCUCACUGUUCUAGAAAUACUCCCAUUAGCCUAUGAUCUUUGCUUUGGCAUGGAGUCUGAUGACACAUUGAUACCAUUUUCUGCCUGUUAACCUACCAAAGGACACAAAACCCUCUUCAUUUCCCUAGAAGUACAUGUAAUAUUUCAAAAUGUAUCACGGGGCACAGCCAUCCCAGGAAAAAGAUGUAAGGUAAUGAGAUAACGUGAAGAAUUCUAGGCACUGAAACUCAAUUCUGGUGGUGAUUUUAGUCUGAGGAAACACAACAAAGGUCCUCAAGCACUAUAACUCCACAUACCAAGUGUGAAGCCACAUGUUCCCAGAUGAGUGAAGGCAGCGCUGGAACCCAGGGUCAGGCCAAGAAGAAUGGGAUCGUCAUGACUGGCUGGGAAAUGAAUCAUGGGCAGCCCAGACGCAGGGCUUUGAUCAGUCCAGCUUCCUCCUCCUAAGAAGUUUCCACCAGAACAUUGCUUGGUGACAUAGUGGUCUUCACCCUGAGCGUCUACAAAUGUAUGUUAAGUUGCUAUUAAGGACCUGUGGACAGAGAAGGCACACCACCACAGAUACUAUAUUUUCUACAAAUUGAAGAUUUGUGGCAAACCUGCAUUGACCAAGUCUAUCGGCACGAUUUUACCAACAACAUAUGCUCACUUGGUGUCUCUUUGUCACA
rnacentral:lncRNA from 1 species